rnacentral:rRNA from 1 species
GGAGUCUGGGCCGUGUCUCAGUCCCAAUGUGGCUGAUCAUCCUCUCAAACCAGCUACUGAUCGUCGCCUUGGUGGUCCAUUACACCCCCAACUAGCUAAUCAGAUGCAGACUCAUCCCAGAGCACCGGAGUUUUCACGAAUAGCAUCUCAGCUACGCGCAUAUGCGGUAUUAGCAGCCGUUUCCAACUGUUGUCCCCCUCUGAAAGGCAGGUUGCUCACACAUUACUCACCCGUCCGCCACUAAGUCAAAUCAGAUUUUGACGAAUCUCCAUCCAAAGUGCUUCGUUCGACUUGCAUGUGUUAGGCACGCCGCCAGCGUUCAUCCUGAGCCAUGAUCAAACACU